CCUAUCCCUAAACCCUCCCUCUUUUGUCUUUUCUCUCAUACUCGUUCCUCACAAACUCAUACUCUUUCCUCUCUUCCUCCUUUGACUGUCACCAAACCCCAUAACACAAGCUUCCUCAUCUCUUCUUCUCUUCUGCAUCCAUUUUAAUUUCAAUUUCUCUCGUCUGUGUAAGUGUAGCUGCUCAUUUCCAACCAAUUUUACCUUGAUCUUUGAAGAUGGAUCGAAAAGAAAGAAUCCGGAUUUGCUUCUUCUCGAAGCCUUCUUCCUAUUCAAGCUCAUUGGAAACGUCGACAGUCAUCGUCUGCCUAGUUUAUUUCUCAUUGUUCUAGAUUCAGUUUGGUUUUACAUUUUUUUUUUGUACUUAUGCAAAAAUGUAAUUUAUUUGUAUCUAUUUUACAUAUAUUUUUCUCUCAUUCAAAAUCGAAUAGUGGUUUGUAAUACAUUUUUGAUAGUAACACUAAUAAAUUAUGUGCAGAAUCAAACAUAAGUGUUAUUGACAUUGUUAAACUAAUAAAUUCUAUAUAAAUUUGUAA